AGAGACUCACUUUUACAGUUUUGAAGUCAUCCAUUUGCAGCAGCAGCAGCAGCAGCAGCAGCAGUAGUAGUAGUAAUAGCAGCAGCAGCAGCAGCAGCAGCAGCAGCAGCAGCAGCAGCAGCAGCAGUAGCAGCAGCAGUAGU
rnacentral:miRNA from 14 species